UGAAUGAGUUCAGAGAUCGUGUA
rnacentral:miRNA from 1 species